AAAGAUUCCACACUCAAAAAUUCAAUAGGUUUCUCUUUCUUCUUCUUCUUGGAGUUGAAAAUGUUAAGAUCUCAGAAGGACGACGCCUAUUAAUGAACAAUCUUAUUCUUCAUCGUCAUCAUCAUCAGCAACUCGACAGGCAACCUAGUGGAUUUAUGGGAGAUGCUGUUAAGUUUUAAAAGAUUGUGGAAAAGGUUUGAGGAAUGGGUUUCGAUCCUUUACGUAGGACGUUUCUCGAAGCUUUAGAAGGAUUGACAUCAAUGAAUUAAGCCUCUUGGAAAACAAAAGUGGUCGUUUACAAGAGAUGGGGUUAGUCUGAAGACUAAAUUCAAGCAGCAUUCAGGAAGCCGCCUUAUUGUAUGAAGGCUUCUAAGCUCCUGCAUUGAUGAAAGUGUUCCAAGGUCAAUUAAGUUACCAAGAGCUACUUCUGAUUUGAUGAGAUGCAUAUGUGGUACCUAUGCUCAGACCCAUCAAAUUGCUGCUAGAAAAGAGAGACAGAUGGAGUCAUUGAGGGCUGCUCUUGGGAGUAAAUUAAACUUCUUUACUACAGGAAGAAAGGAAACUGGAUACAGUGCUGGAAUCUGACUCUGAAUUACUUGAAGGAUAGAUGCCAAACAAAAACUUGAUGGAGACUAAUGAGCAUAGCAAACAUGAGAAAGAUGGUCCUAAGAAGGCUGAGAAGAAAAAAGAUUUGAGGAAGAAACUCCGAAAAAGUAGGCAGGACUGUGAUUCUGAAAAUUCCGAAACUGUUUUAAGUGUUGAGCAAGGAGAAGAUUUCAAGUGCUAAGAAAAGCUCCCAGCAUGAUACUGAUGAUUCUGGUUCCGAAAUCGAUGAUGUUGGCAAAAGAAAUAGCAAAACCAAACCACACGUAAUGUCAGCUAAAACUCAUCGAAGUCGUCAUGUGGAUGAGGAUGGAAAAACACCCCUAUAUUUAGCUGCGGAUUUGAUGAGAUGCAUAUGUGGUACCGAAGAAGAAAUUGAAUAAAAUAUCAGAAGACAGAGUACAACGGGAUUGUGGUACAGACAGCAUGAGGAUCAGGAACAAACACUUAUGUACAAACAAACUAAUCCCUUGUAUGACCAAAAAAGACUGGGAAUAUAGAAGCAAAAGCAUUUGAAGGUGAUCAAGGAACUGGUGGUGUUAAAAGAGCAAACAAAGAUAUUCAUGAACAUGAUAGAAAACGUCAGAUUCAACUUCAAUUGGUUUUUUUAGAAGAUAAAUUGAUCGAACAAGGUUAUAUUCAUGAUGAGAUUUCUCAAAAGCUUCAUGAAGGAAGGAAAUUAUUCGAAGAAGAAGAUGAAGAAUCCCAAAGAACAAACAACAAUCAGAGGCUUCAGAUACUAGAAAGGAGAGACAGAUCAAAUUGCUGCUAGAAAGGAGAGACAGAACAUUAAGGGCUGCUCUUGGGAGUAAAUUAGGUUGAUGAAACUUCUUUACUCCAGGAAGAAAGGAAACUGGAAACAGUGCUGGAAUCUGAUUCUGAAUUAAGUGAAGGAGAGAUGCCAAAUAAAGAGUUGAUAGAGAAAGAUGAGCCAUGCAAACAUGAGAAAAAUGGUCCUAAGAAGGCUGCGAAGAAAAAAGAUUGCAGUAGCAGGAGAGUAGCGAGAAGUCAUGACACCAUGGAAAGAGGGUAGUUCUUUUGAUACUGAUAAUAGUUCAAAACGUGGAAAAGGUUUGAGGAAGAAACAUUGAAAAGUAGGCAGUACAGUGAUUCUGAAAAUUCUGAAAACGGUUUAUGAUAAGCGCAAGGAGAAAAUUUUAAGUGUUAAGAAAAGCUCCCAGCAUGACAGUGAUGAUUCAGGUUUCGAAAGUGAUGAUGUUGGCAAAAGAAAUAGCAAAACCAAACCAGAUGUAAAGAAAUCAGCUAAAACUCAUUAAAGUCAUCAUUUGGAUGAAAAGAGACAGAAAUUCCAAUUGCAAACACAGCAAAAGCCAUGAUUCUGAUUCUGGCAAGGGACAGAAACAUGCUAGUGAAACUACUCACUGAGGACUUGGAGAUGAAUAAGGAAACAUAAAGCUUGGAAGGGGUGAAGAGGAGCUUGGUGGCAGAGAUGAGGAAGAAAAGUACACAAGCAGAAAGCAUGCGAGAACUGAAGAAAAAAACAUUCUACCAAACAUGAGAGUGAGGUGGGAAAAUGCAUGAGAGGAUGGAAGAGGAUCUCUGAGGCAGAAAUCGUGGAAGAGAUGAGGAAGUACGUGGAAAUAGAAGAAUUGGAGAAGAGGAAGAGCAGUGAAGUAGGAGGCAUGAAAAGGAUGAAUGCAGUUCGUGAAGUGGAAGAGAUGAAAGAAGAAGAAAGAAGAAGAAAGAAGAAGUUCCAGGGAUGGAAGAGGCAGAGACAUGGAUGCUAAAAGGGGUCAGUUUGAUGAUUAUUCUCGACCGAGGGGAAGAAAUGUAUUAAAGAACAAAAACGAUGCUGAUCAGCCAAGGAGGCAUGAGCGCGUGACUAGUUUUUCUGUGAUUUGAAUUUUUGCAAACUUGCCAGCAGUGCAACUUUUGAGCCUAGAUUUUAAGUCAUGACAGGGGAUUAUCCCAGAUGAUUUUUUUUUUUUGUUUCCAACUCUUUGUAAAAGUGUUUUGCUGUUGGAAUUAUACAGUUGAGGUACAUGAACCCAUUGGUUCAGCUUGGUUAGUUUCUGGUGCCCGCAUAUAUGGUUAAUGUUUCAUUUA